UCUCGGGUUUGGGCUGAUGAGAAGGGAGUGUUCUCUGUGCCUUGGAGCUGCUCCUGAGGUCCUGCUGCUCCCUGGGAUGCGCCAGGAGUGCAAGAUCUGUGUGCAUUCUCUGAAGUCUCACCCAGGGCUGGGCUCUCCUGACCUCUCUCCCCAUCUCAGCCGAGUGUCUGCAGGAAAUGUUUAGUAAUUAAGUAGCUGUGAGGGCUCUGCCCAGCCCGUCAUCAGCCGGGGCUGGAAUGAGCCUCAAAGAACGGCAGGAUCCACACACGUGGCCUUGACCGUCCCAACCCACGCGGUGCUGCUGCUUCUGCUCGGAGAACCAAGCUGAGCGAAGCUGCUGCUUUGGUGGCAGAGAUUUCUCAGGGUGCUUUUCCCGAGCGGUGAUUCUCGCCUGUGCGAGGCAAGAGGAAAAUCAGCGCAGAUUUUUUUAGGGGAAGCCACGAUAAAACCGGUGAAUUCCUCCCAGGGGCUGCGUUGGGUUGCGAUUUCUGACACAUCAGCUGUGGCAAUCCGGGGUGAUUUCACUGAAGCCUCUGCAGACAUCUGUUUGUAAAUGAGACCAGGAUCUGGCCUGUGUUAAAGGAACGCUGCCCAGGGGUUUUCUCCAAGAUGUGUGCUCUUGCUUUCUGCUCUCUUAGCAAAUUCAGCGCUCCUAGGAGCCAAUUCUGCAUCUUAAAUAGAAAGCCAAGGCAGUGCUUUCUCUUGAAGUAUUCCUGCAGAGCUGGGAACAGCAUUUGCUUCAAUGGAAGAGUUUGAGAUCCCCGGGAAAACGGGGACCUGAGCCCCCUCCCCGUGAAGCCGAUGGCAAAGGAGCAGCGCUGCUCUGACAGGGCUCGUGAUGUAAGGCACUAACAUUAGCACAGGCUCCAGUGGGAUUUAAUGUAAGCAGCACAGUAGCCUGGGCUUCUUGCUGUGGCAUGGGAGAAACUGCACCUCCGGAGCAGUAAGGAGAAAGGAAUGAGGGAAGGUGCCCACAGAUGAGAACAGCUCCAGCUUCUAAAGAAACACAACACUUGACAAACCCUGGAAGUGUGGUUGGGCUGCAGACCCCGUGGAUCCCUGUGUCUAAUUGAAGCAGACAAGGCUGCAACUCAGACUUUGCAUAUUUCAAUGAAAUAUUCAUGAAUCCAGGAGAGAAUAACCCGGGGUGAACAUCAAGUUGUAUAAUCUGAAUGUAUUCUCUAUAACUGUCAGCAACACGCAGACAGCUCAAGAAAAUUCCGGGGAGGGUCUGUCUGUGCUUGUUGAGAAACACCUCGCUGCUUUGGCUCUAAAGGACAAUGAUGAUUGUGUUUGCCCAGACUAUUUAAUUAGCAGAUUUCCCAAAUUGGGCUCUUAGGGACUGAAGUCCCCAUUUACCCCAUGUGGAAGCAUGUGGCUUCCCGGGAAGCUCCAGCUGCCGCUGGAGUGGAGGGUGCCCAGCCUCCUGAGACACGAGGCAGUUUCUCACUUGGCUAUUUAAUCCAGACCGAGGCGCCGAGCAUUAAGCACACCUUCAUUAGAGGAUGCUCAUCUCUGUUUCUGCAUUGAUUCCUCUGAAGACCUGCAGGUUAGGAGUGGGAAGGAAAAUCAGUAAUGGAGCAAAAUGACUGUGAUUUAGAGAUCGGAUUGCACGCAGCCAGGGCCGUGCAUCAGGAUAAUGAGAUUCAGUCUUGUUUGCUUACAAGCGCUGGAGACAGAAGCAGAAAAUGCGAUCCACCAAGCCAGCUCUCAGGAAAUGAGGAACAAUAGAGUGAGGAAAUCAAAUUUCAAACGGCAGGGAUGCAUUUAUCGAGUUUUCCUCGGGAUUUUUGCAGAGCUUUGGGGCGGUUCUCUGCGCAGCGUUUUUUCGGGCAGCCGACAUAUGGCUGGAGGAUUAGAUCACUGCAAAGCACCGUUGUUUGUGACCUAUUUGUUAAUGCGGGGCUGGGGUCAGCGACAAGCGACAAAUGCACUCUGUCAUUGUUCGGGGCUUUUCAAGUGCUGCUCCUGUUGUCCCUCGCACCGUGGCCAGACACUUGGAACAAACUCAUUAGCUAAUUAGUGGUGUGCUCAGCCCCACGUGGGUGAUAUUCCCAUUAUGGCUGUGGAACGGGCCCUCCUGGGGAUCCCUGGCAGCUGCUCUUCCCUAGGUUAGUUGGGAGGGCAGCUGGGGGAGGAUGUGCCUUCCUCAUCUUCUCUGGGAGAGCCUCCUGCAUUCCAGACACCCCACUCCUUAUCCUCCUGCUCCUUAUCCUCCUGCUCCUUGCCUUGCAACAGUCCCUCCACUCCCACUCCUUGGAUCCGCUGCCACCAGCUCGUCUCUGGCGAUCAGUGAUAGGAGCUGAGGGCACGGUGCGAAGCUGUGCCAGGAAAGUUUGGGUUCUCGGCAAAAGUUUUUUCACCCAGAGGGUGGCGGGGCACUGAACAGGCUCCCCAAGGAAUGGUCACGGCCCCAAGGCUGCCAGAGCUCCAGGAGAGUUUGAACAGAGCUCUCAGGCACAGGGUGGGAUUCAUAAAAUCACAGAACAGUUUGGGUUGGAAGGGAUCUCAAAAACACCUUCCACCAUCACAGGUUGCUCCAAGCCCUGUCCAACCUGGCCUUGAACACUUCCAGGGAUGUGGCAGCCACAGCUUCUCUGGGCAGCCAGGUCUAGUGAAAGGUGUUCCUGAUCCUCGGUGUUGUCCUGUGCAGGACCACGAGUUGUAUUUGAUGCUCCUUGUGAGUCUCUUCCAUAUCCCAAGGACAUCCUGGGAGUCUGUGAGCUGCCUCCUCCAUGUGGAUUGCUCUGCUGGUUAUCAGGGUGGUGCCACAGCUCCCGGUGCCCGACUCAGACUGCAGAUCACGGCCUUGGACUCUGGUUGUGCCAACGCAGCUGAAAGGUUGUGGGCAGGGGAGAUGGCUCGGGUCAAUAUCCAGGUACAGCCCGCUCCAAAGCGGGAUGGGGCAGGGCUGCGGUGGGAAGUGUUCUACACCUGGGUUUAAAGUCACAGGACUAGCUCAGUGACAUCCUGCUGGUAAUAUGAAACGAGAAACAUAAAUCCACUGCCAUGGGAGCCACCAGGAGGGAACAUCCCUGUGCAGCUUGGGCAAAGCUCUGCUCGUGUACCUGCCCAGGGUAGCAGGAACACUGCAAUUUAAGGCAUUAACAAGGGUAUAAUAAUAAAAAAAAAUGAGUGAUUUUUACUUGGCUGGUUUGUUUUACUCGCACCAAGGGGCUUGAUCUGGUUGAUAGAAAACAGGGGUUUUUUUGGUGGAAGUGUGCCAGCUGCAGGAGGCUUUCGCUGGGUUUGCUGAUUUGCACACUUAAUGAUGUAGACAGGCACCUGGGAUGGAGCUGGGAAUGGAGAGGAAGCUGCCUCCUGCUCUGGAGAGCUGUCUGCCCAGAUCUGGAAGGAACACAGGCAGGAGAGAAGGCAGCAGGAACAAUCCCGUUCUUCCAAUUUUAUUUCAACCAAGAGCUUUCUUCUCCUCCUUUGGAGCUGUCAGCACCUGAUCAUUAGGAUUAAUGAACGUGCACAGAAACAUUGGGUUUCCAUCACUGCUGUUUUCUUGCAAAGAAGAAAAGGGGGAAGCAUUCUUUCAGCUCCUGCUGAUACCAUCAGAUGUGUGCUGAUCCCUUAUUUUUUUCACCCAGAAUUUAAUCCUGCCAAGCUCAAGGUUAAGAGCUAAGCCAGAAUCACAGCUCGCUGCAGAAGAUUCGGAGCUUCCCGGCUCCCAGAUGGUGUUCCAGGCAUUGGAAUGUGCAGCAUUUCUAAACAAGUUGCUUUUAAUGCAGCUCACUCGGGUGUUUCACUGCAGUCCCCGUUCUUCCGUAUUUAAACCUCAAAUCUGUGGCAGAUUUGAUAGUGGCUCCAUGGGAGGAAGGGCUGGGCUGUAAGUGGUGGAUGCUCCAUCCCUGGAAGUUUCCAAGGCUGGGUUGGACGGGUCUUGGAGCAACCUGGGAUAGUGGGAGGUGUCCCUGCCCCGGCUGGGUUUGGAAGGAGAUGAUUUUUAAGGUCCCUUCCCAAACUGUUCUGGGAUUUGAUGAAGUUUGCAGCGCUCAGCCUGACCUUCCUCUCAUUUAAAAGCAGUGAGUCACAAACUGGGUUUUGCUCGGCAUUUCUGUUUCCUUAUGCUUUUUGUAAGGCACGAUUCCUCAGGAAUCUGGGUUUUAAAUAACCCAAGGCAGGGCUGCCCUGUGCCAGCAGUGAUCCAAGCAGAGCUCUGCUAUCCAGCCUCUCCCCUGGCCUGCUCCAAUCCCGACUGUCUCCCGAGCAGCCACGUCCCGUUUCCUUGAAUUGUCUCCCGGUUUUGAGAUGGGAACAAAUACAUUCAGGGAGGACUACAAUGGGACCCGUAACUCCUCCAGCCCACGAUGCCGGACACUGGUUUAGUCAUUAUCCCGAGGGGAAGGACGUGUGCUCCGACCCACCCAGACCUUCCGGCUCCUCCUGCCACGUUUGUGCCGCUGCGUCCCUGCCGAACUCCCCUUCAUCACCCAGUGUGGCGACCCUGAUCCACAAAUGUGUCCAUCAAGUGUCUCCUUCGCCAUAAAUGUGGUUAUUUUAUAUUUAAGAUAUAUUGGUAUCUUCAGUGGGAGGGGGAAAGUGGAGCAUCUUGUGCUGGGAGCUGCGCCGGGGAGGUUAAGGUUGGAUAUUGGGAGGAAUUUUCUCACUGAAGGAGUGAUUAAAUAUUGGAAUGUGCUGCCCAAGGAUGUGGUGGAGUCACUGUGCCUGGAGGUGUUUAAGGAAAAGCUGGAUGUGGCACUCAGUGCCAUAGUCUAGUUGACAUGGGAGUGUUUGGCCACAAGUUGGACCUGACGAUCUUGAAUCUUUUCCAAACCAAUUCAUUCUAUGAUUCUG